GGAUUGAUUAGAAUCAGCUUCAGGGCAGAAAUAAGCUGUAGAAGUGGCCGCUUGGGGCCCCUGACACCCUGCAAAGCAAGGUACAUUUUAAGAUAAUUGUGACAGAUCACUAGUUCUCUACUGAAGGAGGAAGCGGGGGCCAGGUGAACAAUCCAACGCGCCUUCCAAGACUCUCAAGGACACCUUACAGAUAUAAUCAUGUUUACAAUAAGAAAACAUAAAAGAUAAAAAACCUAAAAUCACAUAUAAAAAUGUGCAUUAUCAUAGGAAUAUAUACCAUCAUAAAAAGAGUUAUUUGUAGUAAGCUCAUUUAAAAAGGUGGGUUUUGAGGAGGGACCUGAAAGUGGAAAGACGAUCACAGUGGUCGUUGAGCAGCACUGCUAAAAGAUCUGGACCCCAUAGAAGUCAGAUGAACCGAAGGUAUCACAAGAGAGAGAGAGGAACAGAAUCUAAGAGUGUGGGUAGGAGAAUAUACAUGAAGAAGAUCGAGAAGAUAGGAAGGUGCUAGAAAAUGAAGAGCCUUGAAGCUCAAUAACAGAAUCUUGUAAUCAAUACGAAGAUUAACAGGGAGCCAGUGAAGUUGUUGAAGAAUAGGAGUUAUAUGGACAGAGUUAGAAGUUUGUGAAAUAAUCUGUGCAUUGAGUUUUGUACCAGCUGUAAUUUAUGCUGAAGUUUUUGUGGUAGACCAAAUAGAAGGGAAUUAUAAUAAUCCAAGCGGGACGUGACCAUGUACGAGAGUGGCAGUGCUGUGAAUUGAGAGGGAGGGGCGAAGAGGGUUUAUGUUCCGCAAAUGGAAAUAAGCAGACCGGGUAAUAUUAUUUACAUGUGCUUCAAAAGAAAGAGUGCUAUCCAGAAUGACACCCAGACUCUUAACUUUCAAACAGGGAAGUAGACUCAGUACCUACAAGAAGAACCUCAGUUUUAUUACUAUUGAGUUUGAGAGAAUUACAAGAAAACCAUGAUUGCAUUUUAAGUAAAAAGUUAUGAAGGGAAGACGGUGGGAGAGAAGAACUUGUUUUGGUGGACAGAUAGAGCUGGGUGUCAUCUGCAUAGCAGAGAAAGUGGAUUCCAAAUUUCCUAAAAAUAUAGCCAAUAGGUAGAAGAUAUUUUAUAAAUAAUAAAGGGCCCAAGACAGAUCCCUGUGGAACACCAGUAGUAACUGGAGAACAAAACUUUUUCAAUUUAACGAACUGAGUGCGAUCAGAGAGAUAAGAUUUAAACAAAGCAAGAGAAGUGCAGCUAAUACCAAUGGAUGCUAAUCUCUACCCCACCUCCGGUGAACCUGGGGGAGAGACGAGGGGAGGCGUGGGGAUAGUGAAAUGGUGAGCAGAGACACACUGAGAGAGAGAGAGAGAGAGAGAGAGAGAGAAAACUUGCUCGCCGGCUCCCAGACGUGCUGUCAAAGAGUCUUGGCCACUGCAAUUUAGAACGUUUAUAUUUACAUUGAUGAGGGUGGCUUCAACCUAGCCAAAAGAAAGGGAUGGGGACGGAACUUUAUUGGCCAACGUGCCAUUGUGGCUGUCCCUGGACAGCGUGGAGGAAAUAUCACCAUAUGCGCAGCCAUUAUCCAGCAAGGCAUCCUCCAUCACCAUCCCAACCAUGGUCCCUACAACACCGCCCUUCUCAUCACAUUCCUGGUCACACUACAUGGCAUCCUAAUUCCAGCCAAGCAGAGGGGUGAACCACAGCAGCCCAGGUAUGUUGUCAUCUGGGACAACGUGAGUUUCCACUGGGCUGCUCUGGUCCGCAACUGGUUCAUCGACCACCCACAAUUUAUUGUUCUAUACCUCCGACCAUAUUACCCAUUCCUAAACCCAAUUGAAGAGUUGUUUUUUUUUUGGCAUAGCAAUGGAAGGUGUAUGACCACCAUCCCCUCGCACGCGCGCCUCAUCUCCAGGCAAUGUGGUGAAGUUGAUGUGGGGGCUUUCGGCAGCUGGAUUCGUCACUCCAAAAGAUUCUUUACCCACUGUUAGCAAGGAAGAACAUUGCUUGUGAUGUAGAUGAGGUGCUGUGACCAAAAUAGGAGGCAAGAUGCAGCCUAAUUUCUUUUUUUUUACAUUUUGCAUGUGUUUUUGUGUUUAGAGUUUUGAAAGAAUGAACCACUUUCAUUUUUUUUUUCGUACAGAAACCCCUUUAUCUUACUGAAUGUUUUUCCUGUUGGGAAUGGAAAGUGUUACAUACGAAACACAAGUGUUCAAAAAUACUGCAUUUUGGAAAUAAUUAACAAUGUUUUUGUUACUGUUUUACAUUUAUGUGUUUAUUUAUGUAUAUUUGAGUAGGUAUACAUUACUAUAAUAAUCUUUUACAACCGGCUACAAUGUAACUCUAACAAUGCAAAAGGGAUAAACCUACUGAUGGAAUCUUCAUAUCAGUGUGUGUCAUUUUGAUGCCAAAAAAAUAGUAAAAUAAUUUUGGAAAGAGAUAAAAUAGUUUUGAAUGCAGUGUUUUCUUUUGCUAGAGAUUCAGCAAACGCGUGUAAAUAAUUGGUAAAACUGUAUAAACCCCAAUUUUGACACUGUAUGGCACACACAUGUUUCAUAAGAUCUGAUUCUGUUUGAACCAGUUACAAUCUAAAACACUUCUCCUUUCAUGAUAUAUGAUAUGGGUUUGAUUUUUUCAGAGUUAUUGUUAGAGUAAAGUGCAUGAAUAUAUUGACCAAACACAACACACAUGUCCAGUACUGCACACUGAUGAAAGUAUUUAUUUCUCUCCACAUAUUAAAAUCAGUCAAUACAUACAUACAUUUCCAAAGGUUGCAUUUGCUGAAAAUCAGAACAGAACAUAUUCUAAAUAGAAUAGUACAUAUAGUAAACACAGCGGAUGAUGAAGAGGUGCCAGCAGUCAGGUUGCAGGGGCAUCAUUUUGAAUGCCAAUGUUAUGUUGACUUUAUCAAGCCACACCUCCCUACUUACUGUUUUGAUCAAUAAAAUUGCUUAAUCAACAUUGUGAUAGCGGAGGAACUAUUCGUUAAUAGAGAUGAGACUGUUGAAGCUCGGAUGAGAUCCUUUGUGGGGGGCUGAGAGAUCGAUUAUGAGAUGCUUUUUCCCCGAAACUUUUCUAGUAGCUACUCUAGGUUGAUAUGGAAAUUCUUGAAUUCUUGACUGGACUUCUGAGAGUGUGUGUGUGUGUGUGUGUGUGUGUGAGUGAAAGAGAGAGAGCGAGAUUGAGAGAGUGUGUGGGUGGGUUUGGGUGGUUUACGAGGACAUUUUUUCAGGUUGCAAUCUGAUAAUUACAAGGGUACUAUGUUUUAAAUGUGGCUUAACAUUGUGGCUUAAUAAAUGAGGACAUUUCUAGUGUCCCCAUAAUUCAAAUAGCUUAAAAAACAUACUCAUAGAAUCUAUCUAUCGUACAGUAUAAAACUCAUUAUGUCUAUGGAGAGUCAUCAUAAGUAUGGCCGCACUAACGUGUGUGUGUGUGUGUGUGUAACAAAACUGAGAAAAGUUUAUCUUUAAGGUUGCAUAUAUGACAUGUGUAACUGUAAAAAUGUGUAUGUGUAAUAUUGUGUAUUAACCAUUUUUCUUCCCUUAAUCUGGCAAAGUAUCUAUGGGGAUACGCUCCCUUCAUGGCUAGACUGGUAAUCUGGCAUACCGGGAGAUUCAGCUCCAUUGUUCCCGGUGGACUGACGAAAUUUGGAGGCAAUCAGGGGAGGACCAGCCAUCUGGAAACCCGAGUGGGCCGGUUUGUCGGCUGCGAAAUGGGCAGAAUGGACCACAAAAUGGGACCACGAUAUGCAGAAAAGGACAGCGAACACCCAACCAUAAAAGUAGUUCUGAUAUAUAACCUGGUGCUAAAAAAUUUAAAGAUUUAUAAACCAGAAGUAGGAUCUUAAAGUCAAUUAAUUGAUGAACUGGCAGCCAAUGCAAUGAUAUUAAAACUGGUGUACUGCGUUCCAGUUUCCUAACUCCAGUUAAAAACCUAGCAGAUGCAUUUUGCACCGUCUGUAGGCGGGAAAGAGAUGCUUGGCUGAUUCCCCUGUAUAUGGCGUUACAGUAAUCGAUCCUAGUCGUAAUCACAUCAUGGAUAGCCUUUUCCAGGUUUGUAAAUGAAAGAAAGGGUUUUACUUUGGCCAGUGAUCUAUGAUGGGAAACAAUAGACUUAACAACAUGAUUAACCUGUUUGUUCAGCUUAAGUACUGAUGACACUAAUUUUGGUGUCAUCAGUAUAACAAUGAUAUGAAAUAUUAUGUUCCUUAAAAAUUGACCUCAGUGGCAACAUUUACAGGGAGAACAGAAUUGGAGCAAGAAUCGAUCCUUGAGGGAUAAAACACGUCAGUAGAGCUGAGUUAAUAGUCUGCUCCAUGCCAGAUCACAGCCAUGCCUGAGUCUGCUCCACGCCAGGUCACAGCCAUGCCUGAGUCUGCUCCACGCCAGGUCACAGCCAUGCCUGAGUCUGCUCCACGCCAGGUCACAGCCAUAACUGAGUCUGCUCCAGGCCAGGUCACAGCCUGAGUCUGCUCCACGCCAGGUCACAGCCAUGCCUGAGUCUGCUCCAUGCCAGUUCACAGUCAUGCCUGAGUCUGCUCCACGACAGGUCACAGCCAUGCCUGAGUCUGCUCCACGCCAGGUCACAGCCAUGCCUGAUUCUGCUCCAUGCCAUGUCACAGCCAUGCCUGAGUCUGCUCCAUGCCAGGUCACAGCCUGAAUCUG